GUGCUCACUUCGGCAACGCAUAUUCUACACUUGGAACAAUACAGAGAAAAGUAGCAUGGCCCCUGUGCGAGGAUAGCAUUCCAAGUCAUGAAACUUUCACUCAUAUU
ensembl:snRNA U6 U6 spliceosomal RNA